rnacentral:rRNA from 1 species
AUUGAACGCUGGCGGCAGGCCUAACACAUGCAAGUCGAGCGGAUGAAGGGGGCUUGCUCCUUGAUUCAGCGGCGGACGGGUGAGUAAUGCCUAGGAAUCUGCCUGGUAGUGGGGGAUAACGUCCGGAAACGGGCGCUAAUACCGCAUACGUCCUGAGGGAGAAAGUGGGGGAUCUUCGGACCUCACGCUAUCAGAUGAGCCUAGGUCGGAUUAGCUAGUUGGUGGGGUAAAGGCCUACCAAGGCGACGAUACGUAACUGGUCUGAGAGGAUGAUCAGUCACACUGGAACUGAGACACGGUCCAGACUCCUACGGGAGGCAGCAGUGGGGAAUAUUGGACAAUGGGCGAAAGCCUGAUCCAGCCAUGCCGCGUGUGUGAAGAAGGUCUUCGGAUUGUAAAGCACUUUAAGUUGGGAGGAAGGGCAGUAAGUUAAUACCUUGCUGUUUUGACGUUACCAACAGAAUAAGCACCGGCUAACUUCGUG